ACACAUGCAAGUCGAACGAGAAAGUACCCUUCGGGGUGCGAGUAAAGUGGCAAACGGGUGAGUAACGCGUGGGAUAUCUACCUGAUGAGUGGAAUAACUCUCCGAACAGGAGAGCUAAUACCUGCAUAAUCCUGGAAACUGGGAAAGGCCUUAUGGUCGCAUCUUGGAGGAGCCCGCGUCCGAUUAGCUGGUUGGUGAGGUAAUGGCUCACCAAGGCGACGAUCGGUAGCCGGUCUGAGAGGACGGACGGUCACACUGGGACUGAAGACACGGGCCAGACUCCUACGAGGAGGCAGCAGUGGGGACUUUUGGGCCAUGGGGGAAACCCCGACCCAGCAACCCCGCUGGAGGAAAGAAAGUUUUCGAAUCGUAAACUCCUGUCCCCAACGAGAAGAAGCAAAAGACGGUAUACGUGGGAGGAAGCCCCCGGCAAACUCCGGUGCCAGCAGCCGCGUUAAUACGGGGGGGGCGAGCGUUUGUUCGGAAUUACUGGGCGUAAAGGGCGCGUAGACGGUUUCGGAAGUCAAGGGUGAAAGCCCCGAGCUCAACUCGGGAAUUGCCUUUGAAACCACGGAACUAGAGUGCUGGAGAGGAAAGCGGAAUUUCCAGUGUAGCGGUGAAAUGCGUAGAUAUUGGAAGGAACAUCUGAGGCGAAGGCGGCUUUCUGGACAGACACUGACGCUGAGGCGCGAAAGCCAGGGGAGCGAACGGGAUUAGAUACCCCGGUAGUCCUGGCUGUAAACGAUGAACACUUGGUGUGGGGGGUAUAAAGUCCCUCCGUGCCGAAGAUAACUCGAUAAGUGUUCCGCCUGGGGAGUACGGCCGCAAGGCUGAAACUCAAAGGAAUUGACGGGGGCCCGCACAAGCGGUGGAGCAUGUGGUUUAAUUCGACGCAACGCGAAGAACCUUACCGGGGUUUGAACUGUACCGGCGACAUCCAGAGAUGGAUGGUUUCCUUCGGGAACUGGUAUAGAGGUGCUGCAUGGCUGUCGUCAGCUCGUGUCGUGAGAUGUUGGGUUAAGUCCCGCAACGAGCGCAACCCUUGUCUGUAGUUGCCAUCAGGUUAAGCUGGGCACUCUACGGAGACUGUCGGCGAUAAGCCGGAGGAAGGUGGGGAUGACGUCAAGUCCUCAUGGCCUUUAUGUCCCGGGCUACACACGUGCUACAAUGGAUGGAACAGAGGGCAGCAAGCCUGCGAAGGCAAGCGAAUCCCAAAAAUCCAUUCUCAGUUCGGAUUGCAGUCUGCAACUCGACUGCAUGAAGUUGGAAUCGCUAGUAAUCGCGGAUCAGAAUGCCGCGGUGAAUACGUUCCCGGGCAUUGUACACACCGCCCGUCACAUCACGAAAGUGGGCUGUACUAGAAGCCGCCGGCCUAACAUUUUAGGAGGGAGGCGUCGACGGUAUGGUUCAUGAUUGGG
rnacentral:rRNA from 1 species